GCCAGCAUGGCAUAGUGGUUUGAGUGUUGGACUACAACCCUGGAGACUAGGGUUCGAUUCCCAGCUCAGAUA